rnacentral:rRNA from 1 species
UACGUAGGGGGCUAGCGUUGUCCGGAAUCAUUGGGCGUAAAGAGCGUGUAGGCGGCCCGGUAAGUCCGCUGUGAAAGUCGGGGGCUCAACCCUCGAAUGCCGGUGGAUACUGUCGGGCUAGAUUGCGGAAGAGGCGAGUGGAAUUCCUGGUGUAGCGGUGAAAUGCGCAGAUAUCAGGAGGAACACCAAUUGCGAAGGCAGCUCGCUGGGACGUAACUGACGCUGAGACGCGAAAGCGUGGGGAGCGAACAGG